rnacentral:lncRNA from 1 species
GGGUUACGUGAUGCUAUGUGCUGCAGCAGACGGAAUCACGAUUGUGAGCCUGGGUUUCUGAAAAGCAAAGAAAACACGUGGAUUUACCAUACUACUGAUUUGUGUGGACAUGCUAACAGCCAGGACAAAAAUGUCAAUUUUCCUGCAGAACUGGUGCCAGGACAUCAUGCUGCACUCUGGCUGAAAAGACAUCCCAGUGCCUGGAGCAACACAGUCCUUUCUGUCCAUUACUGCUGGAAAUUCUGCCAGGGAAUUUCACUUUUAGGCUAA